UUAUAAUACAAUACACCCACGCGUAAUUACUUAUUGUAAUGAUUUCAUUUCAUAAGUCUCAUUUCGUAAUUGCGUCUGGAUUUCACUUUUACGUCAUCCUGACCUGACGAGACUGGAGAUCUACGAUGAUAUGAGAGCCCAUUCCGGUAAUCUUUGCAUAAUCAGUGCAUUCUCAAUUUCAUCAAUUUCAAGGCCAUUUUAAGAAUGCAAAACCAGCUAGCCGUCCUAAUACACUCUCACCAUGACCAGGGAAAUAAUCACGCAAAUUACAAACUCGAUGAUAACAAAUGUUUAGAAGAUUGGUUGAUGAAAAUGACAUAAUAAUAGUGAAUAUUUUUGCACUGAUUCAAAUUUCAAAAAAUUACAAGCAUCAUCCAUCUAUUUAGUUUGGUAGUCCUAAGUUUUUCACGAUAAUACAUCAGCCAGUUGACAUCCCAGAAAAAUAAUUGACCAAGUGAGAGUGAGUAAGCGAGUAAACAAAGCUGCACAUGAAACGUGUUUGUGGCCAAGGAACAAGAUUGAACACGGCUAACUCGUCCAGUGUCAAACAGGAAGAAACUCGUCUCAGAAUUUAAGAGACAGCAUUUCAAAGGCUGAAUUGAAUCCCAGUUGUCUUAUCAUUUCAGUCCUCCAGUUACUGAGACCAGUCCUCCACCGAGAAAAUUGCUGUUCACCAAUUACAAUAACUGGAUAAAAAAGGAGAACAAUGACUCAAUCAGCAGCUCCACCCACUGGAAAGUCAUCCUCUGACAAGGACGAUGACCCCAAUUUCGUUGACAUGUCCUCCAUUCCCGAAUUCUUGUUGGAUGUCGAAGCCGACUUUUGUCUCACUUGGGCCAUGGAUGUCAAACUCACGCAGAAAAAGGCAGAGACAAUUAUAACGUCUUUCAACAUGAUAAAAACAACUCGCGAUCGUCUCUCUCGAAUUUCGCACCAUAUUCUGAAAAGUUUUUUUCUUUGGUUUUUGCAUAAAAAAUACCCAAAGUUUUUAGCCGAUGCUAAAAAAGAAAUUGCAGUUGCGGCGACUCUGGUUGGAGAAUGGUCACAGGAAACAAAGGUGAUAAAGUGCUAUCACACGUACUACGGAUUCGUGGAGGAUUAUAUCGAUGGAGUUGACUAUGUCGUUACAGCCAUGAAAGUCUUAAUCGAACCGAGCAACCAGAAUGUUGACAGAGGAAUCUUGUGCGAUCUCCCCACGGGAAAAAUGCUGGCUGGCGUCCUCCACGUAAAACAAGAGUUUUUUCGACCAUUUUUUGAUGAAAUUGACUAUCGUGUCAAAUUGUUGGAAAAUAUUCGACUCCUCAAUAAAAGUGAUACUCGGGCGUGCCUCUACUUGGCAAAAACCCUCGGCCAAAAGAGAAAGAUGGAAAAUUUCAUCUCCGCACCGAGCCACAAAGAGAUGGACUUGCUGGCCGAAGGACACAUGAAAACCAAAGGGGACCACAGCAUUGUUAUCGAGCUAUGUUAUUGCUUGGCACAAUUUUUGAGGAAUUCCAUAAAUCUUCGUCAUUUUUGGCCAAUUCCUUAUGGGAAAUCACAUGUUAAAUUUUUUCUGAUCAAAGGUUAUGAACCCUACCUAUGAACCCGGAACCGGAACCCGGAACCCUACCUAUGAACUUUGGCAAAAUUCGAAAAUUUUGUCUUUUCUCCUCUAUCUUAAUUUAUCCAUCGAGUUCCCGGAAUUUGGGUGUGAGGAAGAGUAUUUAAGUAUUUUAUUUGGAGAAAGUAGUUGAGGGGCGAUUUGAGUCGCCAUAACGAUAAUUCUGGCACGGGUAUAAAACUCAUUGCAUGCACAAAAAUCAGUCAGUGUGUCGUGAGAGCUGCCUGGAGAAGGAAGUAGAAGAAAGAAGUAGAAGCAUAAAUAAGCGGAAGAAGAAAAAGGUUAAAGGGUACGUUUUAGGGCACUGUAGAGUCAACUUUACAGGUAAUGUGUUAGAAGAGUCAACUCUUCAACACCAAAAGGUUUCUUUUUUCGUGUCACGAGAAGUGACAAUUUGAUGUAUGGGGUCAAGUUAGUAAUUUUAUUUAUUGGGUCAAGUCAGCCAUCUUCUCACUCCUCCCUUCAAGCCACAUAGUUAUUUAUAGUUAUUUAUUUGGGGAAUAAAUACUCGGGGGUUUGUUAAUUGUUAAACUAUGUUGUGGUGUCAUAUUUAUUUUAAGUUAAUGAGUUGUCAAAUGGUCCGUAGAGUAAUUUUCUAAGCACAAAACAUUAUUAUAAUAGCAGUAAAGAACCCGGGUAGUGCGUUGAAUACGCAAAAGUGUCGUAAUUAGUCAGGAAGGCAUAAUUCGUCACAAUUGGGGGCUCGACCGGGAAAUUACUGCGUUUUGAUAGUUCGGAAUUGGUCAUUUUGGGUUAGGUUUUGGGAAGAUUUUUUUUUAAAAAGGGAGGAAUUAGGUUGAAAAUCCAAUUCGUCUGAUCAGGUCAUACUUUCUUGCUGAAGAGAAAAUCCAAAAGGUCAAAUAGAGAAAAUUUUUUAAGAGGAUGGGAAUUCCUCUGUAACUAUGGCUAGCGGGACUAGGGGUGCAAAGAAAAGAGAAAGACGUCAGCAAAUGGCGGAUUUGGGUGUAGAUGAAGUUGUGCGUAGUGCACCAUCAAAUGUAAAUAAUAAACGAAGGGAGAGACGACAUCAAGAAGCUGAUUCAAAUUUGAAUGUGAAUAGAGAUAGGGAUGAAGCAGUGCAAGGUUCAUCAUUCGAGUCAAAUAGGUUCUCAAGGUUACAAGAAGUAGACGAAGGUCAUCAGGAGGAGGAUGGAAGUCAAAGCGAGCUAAUUAGCAGUGGAAGUCGAGUAGUUCAGGAAAAAGAAAGUGAAAUGCAAGAGGAUAAUUUGAAUAGUAGUAAUAGUCGCACUCAGGUAAAUAGUGUUAGUGAAAAAUGGUCAGAUUCAAACGAUUUACAUGAUUUGGUAAAGCAUUUUGUUCGAGAAAGUCAGGGUACAAGUAUUCAGGUUGCGGGUGCAUUAGAGAAGUUGGCAACUGUGUUGGGAGGAUUGAAUAUUUCUCAACCAGGUCAGGUUUCGGGGUCGGUAGAAGGUAAUACUCGAUUUCUUCCUCAUCUAAAAAGUAAGGAUUUGCAAAUUCCAAAAUAUGGUGGAGUACACGAGGCUAAGACUCCAUUUGAUUUCUUAUCUGAAUUAGAAAAAUAUAGACUGGCUGCAGGUCUCAGUGAAUUUCAAAUGUUCAAUUCUGUAGUUCCGUUAGCUCUAACAGGUCAAGUAUAUGAUUGGUUUCAGUUCAUAAAGGACGAUGUCAGUUCUUGGGGGGAAUUCUGUGCAGUUUUUCGGAAGGAGUUCCAACCUCCUGGAUAUGACGAGGAAUUACGUAGGGAAUUAGAGGAACGGACACAGGGACCCCAUGAGACGUUGUCACAUUACAUAAGAAUUAUAAAUGGGUUUUAUGAACGAAUUGAUCCCAAAACACCUGAAUCUGUUAAAAUUGCUAGGAUUUUACGACAAAUGCAUCCGAGUUAUAGACAAAAAGUUUUGAGAACUGGGGAAGAAUUUGUUAGUAUGAGACAGUUGGCAGAUGCAGCAUUAAAAGUUCAGGAAGAUAUUUGGUAUGAAAAGGAAUACCGUGAACCGAAACAGUUUUCUGUGGUAGAGCCAUCUUUGGCUUAUAAAGUUCCACAAGCUCAAAAAUUACAAUCGAGUCCGCCUUGGAGUAAACCAGUUAACAAUCAAAAUAGGGAUUUGCAGCCUAGUUCGUUUGAUCCAUAUCGACAGUUUCACUCAGAACCAAGAGGCUUCCAAAAAUUCCAAUUUUCGAGUAAUAAUUUUAGUAGAAGUAAUCAGAAUCACGGUUUUGAGUCGUCAUCAAGAGAGAAUCAGUCAUUAGAAUUUCAAAGGAAUGCUAAUCAAUUUCAAGGACAAGCCCAACGUUUCCCUACGAAUCGUCCAUUUAAUGCAAACUGGGGCAAUCAAAGUUCAAGUGAAAGUAUUACAAACCGUCCUCGUAGCUUUUCAAUGUCUGAUACUGUUUCUCCCACCAAUCAAGCUGUUCAAAAUCAGGGUAACAGGGCUAUUAGUUCGGAGAAUGUUGAUGGAAGUUCGCAACGUAACAGAGCUUGUUUUCGGUGUGGGAGAGAAGGACAUUUUGCUCGAGAGUGUCAAGCAAAUCAACCUCAGGUCUCGGGAAACGCAAUCAACCUGAGCCGAAUUUAGGUUGCGCGGCUCGGGUUGCCAAUAAUACAAGAGAAGGCAACCAAUUAGAAAGUAGAGAAUCAGUUAUGACGUGGGAUCACAAGUCUCCUUUAAUUAAAGUAACUAUAUGCGGCCGUAAUUUCUUAGCAUUGUUGGAUACUGGAGCGUCAAUUUCUUUAAUUAAUCAGGAAGUUAUCGAGGUAGUAGAGAAUUUGAAUAUAAAGAAAGAACAGUGUCUUACAAAUAUUACUUGGGUUAGUGGAAAUUCUGUAACGUCUGAAUUUGUUAAUUUAACGACUACGUGGAUAUCUGGGAAAAAGAGGCAGAAGUUUCAUUUAGUUCCCGAUCUUCAAUAUUCGGUUUUACUGGGACGUGACUUUAUUUGGAGUAGUCAAAUAGUAAUUGAUAUAUUUUCUGGAGGCUGGUAUCAGGGGUCGGAGAGACAAAAAUUGGUUCCAUUCGAUUGUGUCGGGGAGACUGGGGAAAUUAAAAGAUCUCGUACUGGCUUGCAAAGUAUGGCUUUACAUGAUUUGUCGGUUGGUUGUUCCGAGACCGGAGGGGGUUCACCGCCACCUACUAGUGACUCCAUUUUUGUAAAGAGCUUACGCACUGAUGGUAGCGCUACUGUAGGCAAACAGUCAGACGUCGAGCCCCUUUGCAAUGAGUUAGCUCUGAAAUAUUCUCAAGGCCAAGUGAAAUUAAUGGAGGAACUACGCAAAGAUUUUGAGGAGGUUCACUUGUUUUUUGAAGACUCGUCGGUUGAGUUGUAUCCUGGUCGAAAUGAGACUAAAAUUAGCACCUCCCCUCUCAACCUUGAUGAACUUAUUUCAAAAACUGGCCUGUCAGACGAGCAAAAUAGUCAAGUUAAAAAAGUCAUGGAAGAAUUUGCUCCAUUAUUUAGUAAAUCACCUGGGUAUGCAUGUAAUUUUGAGCACGAAAUUGAUACAGGGAAUGCUAAGCCUAUUAAGUGUCAUCCGAGACCCAUGACCCCAGCUAAGAGGAAAAUUUUACAAGGUUUACUGAAGGAAUUAUUAGAUAAAGGUACUAUUGAAAAAUCGAGCAGUCCGUGGGCUUCAAAUCCAGUCAUUGUCCCAAAACCGAAUGGCAAAUUUAGGCUUUGUAUAGAUUUUCGCCCUCUUAAUAAAGUAACUGUACCAGAUUCCUAUACAAUGAGUAGAAUUGACGAUAUUUUGACUUGUCUCGGUACAGCAAAAUACAUUUCCACUUUCGAUAUUACCGACGGAUUUUAUAAUAUUCCACUAUCCCAUAAGGAUAAAUGUAAGACAGCCUUUAAUACGCCUUGGGGCUUAUUUCAGUAUAUUAUGAUGUGUUUUGGGCUCCGGAAUAGUCCACCAACUUUUGAAAAGUGUAUGGAUAAGGUAUUGGGGAAAUACAAAUGGCGUUUUGUUGUAGCAUUUGUUGACGAUUUAAUUAUUUAUUCAAAUACAUUUGAAGAGCAUUUAGAACAUUUGAGACUCGUUCACACGAUUAUUAGAGACACCAAAUUAGGCGUCUAUAUCAUGAGCGAUCGCAACCCUACAGCUCAUGAGAGUUGCUAAAAAAAUUAAAAUUUCCAAAUUUUGCAAUAUUUUGCCCAAUAAAUGCCAUUUUCUUUGGAUCUGUAGGAAAGACAACCUCCCAGGCAUGGUCAUUUAGUCGACAACGUAGGUCUGUGCUAUCCUAGUAACAUGAAUUGGACGUAAUUGAACUUACAAAUUGAAAUAAUGGACCAUACAAGGUUCCUUAAUAACGACAUUGCCCGCAAGGUUUAGCUCACAGCUAUGCCAGUUCUCAAGCGAUUUCGCUGGUUGACCGCGCAAUUUGUAGGGAAUUUGAGUGCCUAAAAAUAAUGCCUCCUUCAUGUUUGCCAAAUCUGCUUGCAAAGUGAGCGAGCAGUGGUAGCAGGAGCAGUUGCCAAAACGUUACUCCGAGUCUCACAGCCCGCCACCACCACCACCACUGCUCGCUCACUCACUUCUUCUGAGCACACGUACAGGGUCGACGUUUCUCUUUCCUUGGGAAGAAAACUUCUGAUAUUUCUCUACAUAUUACUCGUGGUCAUCAUCAAAUCGUCCCCGUCAUCUCGUCACACGAUGUCCAAGUAAUAUUCUUGAAUAUUCGACAUCAUCGCAGCCCUACUCAGAGCAGCAGGCUUCGGAUUCUUAUUCGUUUCGUUUUUGUCUUCUUCUUCGUCAAAAGCCACAAAAUCUAUUUUUGUGUUGUUGGACCUGAAGUCGUCUUCCUUCGAUUUUUCGCAUUUUCUUCCUCCAGAGGACAGAUAUUGCAAUAAAAAAUCGUCUCCCCCUAGAACAGCAGACUUCGGAUUCUUACUUGAGGUUUUCCAAGAAUUACGAAUCUUUAUGGAAAUAUCUAUUUGGUUCAUUAAUCAUAUGUAUGAGUAGUCAUUAAUUGUGUUGUAGGAUAACCACCUGGAUUGAAUUUUAGUUAUUUGUUAUACAUACAUUACACAUUAGUAAUGUUUAACUGCUUUGUGCGGUAUUAAUAAAUUACUGCUUAGUGCGGUUUAAUAAAUAGCUGCUUAGUGCGGUUAAAUAAAUAGCUGCUUAGUGCGGUUAUUAAUAAAGGAAUUUGUUUCCCAAAAUGUCAUUACCGAAAAUACAGAAAUUAACUGUCAAUGAUUCUGUUUUUCAUUAUCAUUCAUGGAAUGCUAAUGGAAUUGAUGAGGUCAAAAUUAAAUGCAUGAUGCCCACUUGGACCGGAAGUGAUUUAAUUUUCAUUCAAGAGACUAAAUUGAAUCCCUCCGAUGAGCAAAAAAUCCUGGAUCUGGCUCUGACGUAUGGGUUCAACGCUAAAUUCCACAGUUCAUUGAAGGGCAAAUAUUCAGAUUACAUGAGUUAUGGAGUUUGUGUUUUUUACAAAAGGGGACUUGACGUAACCUAUACGAAUAUGAGUAAGGCCUUUCCCGAUAUAUCCACGCAAAAUAAGGAAAGAAUAAUGAUGAUUAAUGUAAGGCAUGCAGUAAAUGAAAACAACGCAAUUUAUUUUGUAAAUGUUUAUCUUCCAUGCAAUCAUCAUGGUGAUAGUAUUAGAGAUGCUGAACGGGAAAAUUGGGUUACGACAAUCGGCCAAUUAUGCAACAAAUUGAAAAAUAGACAUGCUAUUUGGAUCGGUGAUUUUAAUAUGAUGAAGUUAAACACUGAUUUAGUUUCAUCAAUGACAUCUUCGGACCCAAGAUGUGUAUACUAUGAGAAAUGCAUGGAAAAAUUCAACGAGUUUAAGUUUGGGAAUGUGUGUAGCAAAUUAUGGCCACAAACAAUUUUCACAAGAUAUGCGUUUGGCUCCAAUAAGAUUUACAAAUCUAGAUUGGAUUAUGUUAUAGUCUCUCAGUCGAUGAAAAACUUCAACUUGAUGGUGGUGCCCAGUUAUGAUGAAGCAACCAUGUAUCUUAGCGACCACAUCAAUUUAAAAUGUUCUAUUCGUUGUGCAUCAGAAGAACAUCCAAACAUAGAGUGUGCCCCAAAAAUUGAAUGUAAGCUUCCUGAUUUGCAAAAUGCAAACAUUAGAAGUUGUCCAUAUUGUUCAAUACAGCUAAAAUAUAAUAGCCGUUCAAACAUAGCUCAACAUAUUAUGAUUCACACGAAUGAAAGACCGUACAAAUGCGAAAACCACUGUGGGUUUCGAACCAAUGCUAAGCCAUCCCUGUCGUACCACAUGUCGGUAUGCAAAGGUUCUUUUGAAAGUCGCAUGAAUUAUUGUCCUGAUUGUCCGGCUUACACUCCAAUUAAUGAGCAAUAUAUGCAACAUAUAAAAAUCUGUGCAAAGAAAAAAACAAAAUUUAAUCCUCUCGCAAAGUUUAGUUGUCAAAAAUGUUAUUAUGACUGUGACACACCAUCUAAAUGGGUCAAACAUCAGGAAACUGAAGUACAUAAUGCUGCGCAAAUAUUGGUUUGGUAUUUUUGUCUUCCCUGCAAUUUCUGUACAUACAAUGAAAAGCAUUUAAACGACCAUUACGAAACAAAUAAACACACUCGAAUGCUCGAGUGAACAUUAAGAUGAACAUUUAGUGAACCAUGAUAGACAAGAACAGCAUUUACCCGUUAAUGCUGUACAACAACAGUAUGGUCUUUGCAGAUGAGGCUGCAGUUGCAAGAUUCAUUAUUCAACAAACAACGUGAGAUAUAAAUUAAAUAUUCGAAAAAGUCUAGUCAUGUUUGGAAAUUCAUGGAUUUUAAACUAAUUAUCAGGGGUAUGUGGAAUGAUGCACCCGACGCUGCCCCACUCUACGUCAAACUUGCAGAGAUCCAUUCUUCCCUACUUCCGGAGAAAUUCGCCAUGAACUCAAAGACUGUGACGCCUCUAGCUCUAGUUGACCGAGCACUGGAGAAGUACAGCAAAUAUAGCAAAGCGUUACAUCGUAAGGCGAAGAUUCUAUUCAAGUUGCAUAAGCAUGAACAAGGUCUGGUCUGUUUGGAGGCGGCCUUUGCUUGUGGAGAAACCAAUUGUGAUGCCUUAUGCGAUCUGAUCUUUCGACUUAUGAGAUACCCAAAUCGGGACAAACUGGACCCAAUCUUCCAAAAGUACUGUUCAGAUUAUGGUGAAAAUCUGUGGGGGAAGAGGAAAGUCGGGACGAUUUAUUAUCUUUGUGGAAAUUAUUUGUGGAUGCUGAAUUUAAAAAAGGCUGCCGUGAUCCACUGGCUCAAGGCUGAACAAUCGAACCCAAACCCAAUGUAUUUUCAAAAAUUGCACAUUCAAAAAACAAAUUAUAAAUGGCACCAGUCGUCAGUCUUGCGAUAUGAGAAUAUUAUACAUUAUUUGAAAGGGAUGAAGAAUGGUGUAUUUGAUCGGUAUGCUCGGGACAGCUUGCUUUCAAAACUACAAAGUCUCCUUGACCAGUAAAAAAUAAUCAAACAUUCCUGUUCAUUUGUUAAUAGUUAGUCAAGAAACGAUACAAAGUUAUCCUUAAUUAUAAAACACUGCAUUCUCAUUCAGAAAUGUAAUAAAUGAAAUAUAAUAAACAUCGCUAUUUAUUGAGAUUAAAAA